rnacentral:lncRNA from 1 species
CAGACUCCAGGCUCUUCUUCAGGAAAAGGAUCCAAUGAACUUCCACCAAGGAUUGAUACUUUACUUCACAGGAAGAAUGUCAAGGAAAAAGAAGAGAGUUACAUUUCUAUGUAAGUUUGUCAAUUAUAUAGCAAAGUGGUAUUUUGAAUUCAAUAAGAAACUUAGCUACUUGUUAGUAUGGAUUUUAAAUUUUUUGUCAUUUUUACAGGUUACUAAAGAAAAACAAACAUGUCAACAGAUCAUGCAUAAAAGUUUGUCAAUUAUCAGGUGUGGGAGAAUCUCCCCCUGAAAAUGCACUAUCAUCAAAUGUUUCCAGGUCUCCUUUACAUGGAAGGAACAUUAAGAAAAGUGAGUCUCAUCCUCAUUUGUUGUAUUUUAAUGGAUUUUGUAAGCAAAAUCAUUGUGCGCGCAACAUUUCUGUUUCUCUAGGUGGCUGCUUGUUCCAGCCCAGCAAGCAGGAGCCACUGUGUCUGAAAAGAGGGGUCAUUGAACCAAUUAAACACUUGUGUGAAGCCUCAAUGAUCCCCGACACAUGGAACUACAAAGGAAAGAGAGUGAAAGACGUCCGCUUCGAUGCAAAAGAGCCUGACAAUGACUGUGUUGUGAGCCACAUAAUCAGAUUGAGAGAAAAACUGGGCUGGUCCACUGAGAUUCCUGACAGGAGAAUAGCAAAAGCAUGCCCACAAAAUAUACAGGAAAUCCCUGAGGAGACUAAAAAGGAUCCUGGAGAGUAUGUGUACUGUCUGAUGAGGAACAGAGGUGACCUCAAGAUCCAGCCCAACCCCUAUGAUCUUCAGGUGGUUUCUGUCCAGACAGCUAAACAGAGCUGUCAGUACUGGACCGUUAGCGCUUCAUGCAUAUUCAAGGUGUCUGUUUUGGAGGACAGAAGUGGUGAAAUCAUGUCUGUGAUAGACUGGCUUUCUGAACGAGAACUGUUUUUCAAAAUCUUCAAGUUGCCAUUGUUUGCAAAAUUCAGGUUUGUAUGGUUAUUCAUAAAAGAAGGAUGA